rnacentral:rRNA from 1 species
GACGAACGCUGCGGCGUGCUUAACACAUGCAAGUCGAACGGAAAGGCCCCCACCUUGGUGGGGGUGCUCGAGUGCGAACGGGUAAAGUGGGUAUUGCCCUGUACUUCGGGAUAAGCUUGGGAGACUGGGUCUAAUACCGGAUAGGACCAUGGUUUAGUGUCUCAUGGUGGAAAAAUUAUUGUUUUGGUGCAGGAUGAGCUCGCGGCCUAUCAGCUUGUUGGUGGGGUAAUGGCCUACCAAGGCGUCGACGGGUAGCCGGCCUGAGAGGGUGGACGGCCACAUUGGGACUGAGAUACGGCCCAGACUCCUACGGGAGGCAGCAGUGGGGAAUAUUGCACAAUGGGCGCAAGCCUGAUGCAGCGACGCCGCGUGGGGGAUGACGGCCUUCGGGUUGUAAACUCCUUUCGUUAGGGACGAAGCCACACCUUUUUUGGGUGUGGUGACGGUACCUUUGUUAAGAAGCACG